rnacentral:rRNA from 1 species
CAGAAGGUGCGAACGUUGUUCGGAAUCACUGGGCAUAAAGCGCACGUAGGCGGCACCGCAAGUGUGGAGUGAAAUCCCACGGCUUACCCGUGGAACUGCUUGGCAGACUGCGGUGCUAGAGGUUGGUAGGGGAGAGCGGAACUCUUGGUGGAGCGGUGAAAUGCGUAGAUAUCAAGAGGAACACCGGUGGCGAAGGCGGCUCACUGGUCCAAUCCUGACGCUGAGGUGCGAAAGCUAGGGGAGCAAACGGGAUUAGAUACCCCGGUAGUCCUAGCUGUAAACGAUGGGCACUAGCUUGGGGUCACCCCGUGUGAUCCCAGGUGAAGCGAAUGUGGUAAGUGCCCGCCUGGGGAGUACGGUCGCAAGGCUG